GCGCUCGUAGCUCAACUGGAUAGAGCACCGGACUUCGAAUCCGUAGGUUGCAGGUUCAAGCCCUGCCGAGCGCACCA
rnacentral:tRNA from 1 species